CAUGAAUGGUCAGGUUACCAGUCGACCUGUGCUGCCUCUUUCUUUCGUGAUAUUUUUCACAGCGUAAAAAUAUCACAAGAACAGAUCCAGCACAGGUCGUUUACCUGACAUUUAU
rnacentral:pre_miRNA from 1 species